GGAGAGAUGGCUGAGCUGGUCUAAGGCGCACGCCUGGAAAGUGUGUGUUGGUUAACCCCAACCGAGGGUUCGAAUCCCUCUCUCUCCGCCA
rnacentral:tRNA from 1 species